GCCGAAGUGGCGGAAUGGCAGACGCGGUGGUCUCAAAAACCAUUGGGGGCAACCCCGUGUGGGUUCGAAUCCCACCUUCGGCA
rnacentral:tRNA from 1 species